CUCCACCCAGCUCAGGGGCUCGGCUGUGACAUCUCCCCUAGCUCCCACUUCUGGAGAGGGCUCCCUAUUCAUUGUAAACCUCCAGGUCCUAACAGGGGAGUGUCCUUGCAGAGGAGAAGGGUAUGGGUCCUCUCUCUGAGACUCAGUUUAUGCAUCUGUAAGGAAGAGCGAGCUAGCAAUGCCCACACGACCUCUCUCACAAAGCCGCAGUGUGGAAAGACCUUUGUAAACCUUGUGGCCGGAGCUGGGAGGGGAAAUGGGAGAAGGGGUGAAGUGAAAGGCAGGGGUGGUAGAGGAAAGGUAGGGAGAAAACACCGGGGUGAAAGGGGGCAGAAGCGGACGGGAAGAAAGGAUGGACAGGGGCGGGAGGGGUGGAAAGAAGGGGGAAGGGGAAGAAGUGGGAAAGAGGAGAAAAGUAGAGAGAGGAAGGGGAAGGGAAAGGGGGAGGGGAAGGGGAGGAAGAGGAGGGGUUGGAGAGAAGAGGGAGGAAAAUGGGAAGGGAAGGGACAGCGGGAAAAGAGGAGGGAGGGAAGGGGGAAGGAAAGCGGAAAGAUAACUGGUGGGGAGGAGGGAGAAGAGAUAGGGAGAGGGAAGAGAGGGGAAGGGGAGUUAGAAGGGGAGGAAAAAGGAGAGGUGAAGGUCAAGGAGAGAAGGGGGAGGGCGAAGCAAAGGAAAAAGGGAAGGGUGAAGAGCAAGGAGAGAAGGGGGAGGGUUAGAAUCGGAAGGAGAAGAGGCAGAAGAAGGAGAGGACGCCGGGGCAAGAGCAAGGCCAAGGCCGUAGGAGUUCCCAGGUGCCCUGCCCCAUCCCACUGCUCAGCCCCAGCCCUUCCCGCCUCCCCCGCCCCCCCCCUCCCGGCGGUGCAGUCGUGGCAGGGAGACCUUCACCCGCUCCCUUGCGCAGGCAUCUCAAAGACUCCUCUAAGCGACUCAGCCCGGACAAGGUUAUUGGACUGUCUUGUCACGUUGGGACAGCUCUAUAACCCAAUCAGGCAGCCAUACUGGUAG
rnacentral:lncRNA from 1 species